rnacentral:rRNA from 1 species
GACGAACGCUGGCGGCGUGCCUAAUACAUGCAAGUCGAGCGGACUGAUGGGAGCUUGCUCCCUGAAGUUAGCGGCGGACGGGUGAGUAACACGUGGGCAACCUGCCUGUAAGACUGGGAUAACUUCGGGAAACCGGAGCUAAUACCGGAUAGUUUCUUUCUUCACAUGAAGAGAGAUGGAAAGACGGUUUACGCUGUCACUUACAGAUGGGCCUGCGGCGCAUUAGCUAGUUGGUGAGGUAACGGCUCACCAAGGCGACGAUGCGUAGCCGACCUGAGAGGGUGAUCGGCCACACUGGGACUGAGACACGGCCCAGACUCCUACGGGAGGCAGCAGUGGGGAAUCUUGCGCAAUGCGCGAAAGCGUGACGCAGCAACGCCGCGUGGGGGAAGAAGGCCUUCGGGUUGUAAACCCCUUUCAGGAGGGACGAAGCCCGGGCGGUUAAUAGCCGGCCCGGGUGACGGUACCUCCAGAAGAAGCCCCGGCUAACUACGUGCCAGCCGCCGCAGUAAAAC